GGGCAGAGAGGUAUUCGACUGGAUCCUGGACCAAGGCUACUACUCAGAGCGAGACACCAGCAACGUGGUGCGCCAGGUGCUGGAGGCCGUGGCCUACCUCCACUCCCUGCACAUCGUCCACAGAAACCUCAAGUUGGAGAACUUGGUGUACUUCAAUCGCCUGAAGCACUCUAAAAUAGUCAUCAGUGACUUCCAUCUUGCCAAGCUGGAGAACGGACUCAUCAAAGACCCCUGCGGGACACCAGAGUACCUGGCUCCAGAAGUGGUUGGCAGACAGCGGUAUGGCCAACCUGUGGACUGCUGGGCAACAGGUGUCAUCAUGUACAUACUG